rnacentral:rRNA from 1 species
CCUACGGGUGGCAGCAGUGAGGAAUAUUGGUCAAUGGACGAGAGUCUGAACCAGCCAAGUAGCGUGAAGGAUGACUGCCCUAUGGGUUGUAAACUUCUUUUAUAUGGGAAUAAAACGUUCCACGUGUGGGAUUUUGUAUGUACCAUAUGAAUAAGGAUCGGCUAACUCCGUGCCAGCAGCCGCGGUAAUACGGAGGAUCCGAGCGUUAUCCGGAUUUAUUGGGUUUAAAGGGAGCGUAGGUGGAUUGUUAAGUCAGUUGUGAAAGUUUGCGGCUCAACCGUAAAAUUGCAGUUGAAACUGGCAGUCUUGAGUACAGUAGAGGUGGGCGGAAUUCGUGGUGUAGCGGUGAAAUGCUUAGAUAUCACGAAGAACUCCGAUUGCGAAGGCAGUUCACUGGACUGCAACUGACACUGAGGCUCGAAAGUGUGGGUAUCAAACAGGAUUAGACACCCCUGUAGUC